rnacentral:lncRNA from 1 species
AUGUCUCAUUUAACAGAUGAGGAAACUGACAUUCAAGAGCCUAAUCAAGUUGCUAGGGUUGUCCAUACACUUCCUGGAGGAGUCAGAAAUAGAACUCAGACAACUGAACUCAGGCACCUGAACCCAGGCCAGCAUCCUUCCCAGACUGGACUUCAGUUCAUGUCUGAGAGCCCUGUCCUAACAGUGUGUGGUGUGCUGUUAACCUGACAUGGAAGUCCCAUGGAGAUCCAGGGAAGAAUGGUGGCAAGUCCCAGGCUGGCGAGCAAGCAGGUGUUGCUACUGAGGAGCCCACCCAGCUCAUUGCUUUCUUGCUGACCCUGAAAUCUGAGGGUAAGUUUUACUCCCCAAUCCAAGCUCUGCUCAUUUUGCAUUUUGAAGAUCUUCAGAUUUUUGCAGGAUCUGUUUAAAGGCUUUGUCCUCUCUUUCUUAAGGCCUUAUUUUGUCUGGGAGUCCUGGUUUGGCAUUUCAGUGUGACUCUUUUGAAAUCAGGCUAUUCCUACUGUAACUGCUGUAACUUCUGUCCAACUCCUUUGGGGAUGGGGCUGAUCCUAUUGGGACUGUACUGGUCAGCUCUUUGACCUGACUCUUUUGGGAUCAGACUGUUUCUAAAGGAACUGUGCUGGUAUUUGGCCUACAGGCUAUUUAAGAACUAUUCUCUGCUCUAGGGAAAAACCUCUGAAAAUGGGAUCCCAGUUAUCUAAAUGUUUUGAGGGCACUACCCCCACCUUCAUGAACCCCAGACAAUUUUAGUUUAAAAGCCAUAGUUCUCACUCAAGUUCAUUUGGUUAAAUGACUUAACCAAAAGUAACUUAGAACAUCAAUGGCCAUCAUGGGGAAACAUUUGAGCUCGCCAAACUUACCUUUCUUAAAAUCCAUUAGACAGCCAUGUUUAUUGCCCAGGGGUCCUGGACAAAGCUCCAUCCUUGGGUUUGUCACAGGUAAAAUGGGAAUAUUGCAGGGUAUAACUACAAAUGAUAAUAAAGCCCUGAGCCUUUAUUCUGAAAUCA